rnacentral:rRNA from 1 species
UUUCCCUCAGGAUAGCUGGCACUCGCUCGAUAGCGAGUCUCAUCUGGUAAAGCGAAUGAUUAGAGGCCUUGGGGCCGAAACGACCUCAACCUAUUCUCAAACUUUAAAUGGGUGAGAUCUCUGGCUUGCUUGAACGUUGAAGCCACGAGAUAUAUAGUCCCCUGACGUGUUUAUUCAUUGAUUCGGACGAAUUUACGGAUCAGAGUGCCAAGUGGGCCAAUUUUGGUAAGCAGAACUGGCGCCUGUGGG